rnacentral:lncRNA from 10 species
AACCAGUCUUUGAUUUUCAAGGGAUUUUGAGAGGCUUUUUCACCUAUCCCCACUAGAACUCCAGUCAGACCAGGCUAGCAAAUAAUGUUAUUUUUCCUUUCAUGAAAAUUUAGAGAUUUAGGAUGACAUCUAAAUUAGAAUUGUAAGUAUGCAGAAGACUUUGCUCAGAACCAUCAGUAAAAAAAGAGGAAAUAAGAGAAGGUCAACAGCUAAUAUUCAGGAACUCCAUGAGACAAGCCAACCCAGAACCAAGUUCUAGAAUAAGAAAGCUCUUAGGUGGCAAGGGUUUUCAAACGGCAAGUAAAUGUACAAUUAGCAGUGGGGAGGGAGCUUAGUAUAUAGUCCAGCAUACUUUGUACUAGAUGUGAGGGUAAAAGGAAAGAAAUCAAGA